UACGUAGGGUCCGAGCGUUGUCCGGAAUUACUGGGCGUAAAGAGCUCGUAGGUGGUUUGUCGCGUUGUUCGUGAAAACUCACAGCUCAACUGUGGGCGUGCGGGCGAUACGGGCAGACUGGAGUACUGCAGGGGAGACUGGAAUUCCUGGUGUAGCGGUGGAAUGCGCAGAUAUCAGGAGGAUCACCGGUGGCGAAGGCGGGUCUCUGGGCAGUAACUGACGCUGAGGAGCGAAAGCGUGGGGAGCGAACAGG
rnacentral:rRNA from 1 species